UACGAAGGGGGCUAGCGUUGUUCGGAAUUACUGGGCGUAAAGCGCACGUAGGCGGUGUGUCGCGUCGGCCGUGAAAACCUGGGGCUCAACUCUGGGCGUGCGGUCGAUACGGGCAUCACUUGAGUUCGGCAGGGGAGACUGGAAUUCCUGGUGUAGCGGUGAAAUGCGCAGAUAUCAGGAGGAACACCGGUGGCGAAGGCGGGUCUCUGGGCCGAUACUGACGCUGAGGAGCGGAAAGCAUGGGGUAGCGAACAGG
rnacentral:rRNA from 1 species